rnacentral:rRNA from 1 species
UGUUCAUAACCCUUUGUUGUCCGACUCUGUUGCCUCCGGGUCGACCCUGCCUUCGGGCGGGGGCUCCGGGUGGACACUUCAAACUCUUGCGUAACUUUGCAGUCUGAGUAAACUUAAUUAAUAAAUUAAAACUUUUAACAACGGAUCUCUUGGUUCUGGCAUCGAUGAAGAACGCAGCGAAAUGCGAUAAGUAAUGUGAAUUGCAGAAUUCAGUGAAUCAUCGAAUCUUUGAACGCACAUUGCGCCCCCUGGUAUUCCGGGGGGCAUGCCUGUUCGAGCGUCAUUUCACCACUCAAGCCUCGCUUGGUAUUGGGCAACGCGGUCCGCCGCGUGCCUCAAAUCGACCGGCUGGGUCUUCUGUCCCCUAAGCGUUGUGGAAACUAUUCGCUAAAGGGUGUUCGGGAGGCUACGCCGUAAAACAACCCCAUUUCUAAGGUUGACCUCGGAU